rnacentral:sRNA from 1 species
ACUGCUCUUCCAGAGGCAAGACCAACCAAGAUGAGUGCCCUGGGAGCUGUCAUUGCCCUCCUGCUCUGGGGACAGCUUUUUGCAGUGGACUCAGGCAAUGAUGUCACGGAUAUCGCAGAUGAUGGCUGCCCGAAGCCCCCCCAGAUUGCACAUGGCUAUGUGGAGCACUCGGUUCGCUACCAGUGUAAGAACUACUACAAACUGCGCACAGAAGGAGAUGGUAAGAUGUGGACAACUGUCUCCAUGCCCUACAUACAACCCCCUUCUCUGACAUUUCCAUGAUGGGUGGUGCUGAGGUGAUUCGCCAGAAAGUUCGUUGCUCUCCUUGGAGCCAGGAGAUUUAGAUUCUAAUAAGCGUUUUGUCGCCAGUAGCC